rnacentral:misc_RNA from 1 species
AAAUGCGAUAAGUAAUGUGAAUUGCAGAAUUCAGUGAAUCAUCGAAUCUUUGAACGCACAUUGCGCCCGCCAGUAUUCUGGCGGGCAUGCCUGUCCGAGCGUCAUUUCAACCAUCAAGCCCCCGGGCUUGUGUUGGGGACCUGCGGCUGCCCGCAGGCCCUGAAAACCAGUGGCGGGCUCGCUGUCACACCGAGCGUAGUAGCAAUCACCUCGCUCAGGGCGUGCUGCGGGUUCCGGCCGUUAAACAGCCUUACAAAACCCAAGGUUGACCUCGGAUCAGGUAGGAAUACCCGCUGAACUUAAGC